rnacentral:misc_RNA from 1 species
UAAAAACCCUCGCACAAAAACCCUUCCUCCACUGAUAAACCUCUCGAUCUGCAGCUAAGAUUCAAGAAACACCAACGAUGGAAACUCAUGCUGACGGCACAGAUGAAAUUGCCGCCGUGGAGGAGCUACGGCAACAGCACGAAACCCGUAUACAGACCCUACACAACGCUCAAUUGGAACUCAUCGCCUCACUGCAAAACAUAGUUCCUGAUAUAGUCUCUUCACUCGACCUCUCUCUUAAGACCAUUUCAGCCUUCAAUGGAAAACCCUUCACCCCUUUACCCAGCCCACUCCCUAAUGCCCCCAACCAUAACCCUAAUUUACUCGUCCCAAAGAUCAAUUCCUGUUCUGGUAAACGUGUUUCAGAACUUUCUAGAAGUGGUAGUGAGAAGGAGAAAAUGGUAAUUGAUGAAUGUGGGGGACCUUUGUCGGUUGUAAGGGCGAUGGUUGCAGUUUGUUUGUUAGAGAGAGUGCCGUUUACUGCUAUUGAUUCGUCUACUUUGUUAAGGAAGUUAGAGAAUGAUCAGUCGCAUACGGCUGCUGAAAAGGCAGCGAUUAGGGAGCUCGGAGGCGAGUCGGGGGCGAUAGUGGCAGUGGAAAUGGCAUUGAAAUCGAUGGCGGAGGAUAAUGGUUGUGUAGAAUUGGAGAAUUUUGUGGUUAGCGGGAAAUCUAGGAUUAUGGUGUUGAAUAUUGAUAGAACUAGGCUAUUGAAAGAAUUGCCGGAAAGUAAGCAGACUGAGGGAAGUGUUGGUGGAGGAAACCGGAAUAAUCAGGAAAUAAUGAAAAGAGGGAUUGAUAAUGGAGGUGCUUUUGGAAUGGGAAGGGGAAUGAGUGAAAUGUGGGAGCAUCCACAUAUGCAGGGGAUGACAGCUAUGUUUCCCGGGAAUAUGGGCGGUCCAAGAGGAGGGCAUAGAGGAAUGGUGGGUAUGAUGGGGAUGCCGAGAGGUGUUGGUGUUCCACCUCCUAUGCAUAGACCACCAAUGGGACCAAAUGGGCAAAUAGGAGGAGGAGGGAAUUCUAUUGCUUUAAAACCUAGGUCAGAAGAAGAUGAGCUGAAGGAUUUAGAGAAAAUGUUGAACAAGAAAAGUUUUAAGGAAAUGCAGAAAUCGAAAACCGGAGAGGAGUUAUUGGACCUUAUUCAUCGUCCGACUGCAAAGGAAUCUGCCGUCGCUGCAAAGUUCAAAAGCAAAGGUGGUUCCCAGGUGAAGGAAUAUUGUUCAGCUUUAACAAAGGAAGAUUGUCGACGCCAAGCUGGUUCCUACAUUGCUUGUGAUAAGGUUCAUUUUCGGCGAAUAAUUGCUGUGCAUACUGAUGUCAACUUGGGUGAUUGCUCUUUUCUUGAUACUUGCCGUCACAUGAAGACAUG